CGAGAGCUGUUGUCAAAAAGUGGAUUUUAAAAAGCUCUAAAAAACUGUAAAUCAAACGCAAACUGCACGGCUGGAUGUGUGUGUGUGUGUGUGUUACAGUAGAAGCACAGUGCAGGGAGGCUGGGUGAAGCCCAGCAUGGCGGGUGUAAAGAUGCUGCUAGUUGAUGGAAACGUGCAUGAUAACAAAAGACGGUAGGAGGGAUGGUGGAGGGGCGAUAUUAUUUCGCGUAAGUCGCAGAAGCAGAAGCAGAAGGUUGCAGAGUGCGUGCAGGACGCCUGGGUGGAAACAAAGGAAAAGCGAGCAUGCGAUGCUGGUGGACACAAUGCAUCCCAGGAAGCGCGCAGGGCACCUACCUUAAGGACUUUUAUGUGGGCAUCUUCUCGAUGAUCCCCGACAGGCUGUGAUGUCUCCUCUGCAUCAGCAGCAAAGCCUCCUCAUGUCGGGCAGCACAACGAGCGCCAGACGCGAAGCGGAACCCGAAAACGGGAUUCUAGCGCGAUCCGGUGAGCGCGGUGAAGCUUUCCUCCCGGUCCUCCGCCAUCCCGCUGUGUUUUGGAGAGGAGGACGAGGAGGCGAGGAGAAAGGAUGCUCUCGGGCUGAGGCAGCGAGCAGGAUCCUUCGUUCCUGCUGUCUACGGAAGCCCGGAUGCGCCAAAAAAAAGAAGGCAAUUUUAUUUUGGUUCCUUGCUCAGAUGUUGAUUUUUUUUAUAUAAGCUCAUUUCUGACCGCGAAAUCCUCACACGAAACAAACGGGGAAUUAUUGUUCUUUUAAAACACAUUGUUUUUUUUAUCGCACUCUCGUUUUAAAAAUGUGUCGUUUGUGGUUUCUUUCUUAUACCAAAGUAGGCGAGUGAUUGAUCACUAGUCUCAAUAAAUACAGUAUUAGUCUUCUCUAUUGGUUUAUAAUAGUGCCCCAUAGAGAGUAUGGUAUUAAUUCACAUGUGUAUACAAAUAAUUGCAUUAAUAUUUGACUUUAAAUAAAAAGGAAAGGCCAAUACAGUGACAUCUGAAUAUAGAACGUUUCGGUUGGGUUCAUUUUUAUUAUUAUUAAAGGGUUAUUUUAUAGGUUUCUCUGACAUUACAGUACUGGCUCCCUGUUACUUUUUGUUCCUUGACUAAUAGAAAUUGGAUUUACGGUAUUGGUUGAAUUUUUCAUUGGAUUUGUCAGUUAAACUUAAGAUUAUGUUGAUAGUUUCUUCUGUAUGCUCUUUUUUUUACCAGCCAUUGGCCUAUAAAGCAUCUGGCAUCACAAUGAUACUGACAAAUAUGGUGUUUAUUACUGGAGGUUAUGAGAUCUUCAGCACUGCAAAAGAACAAUAAUAUAUUUGAGAACCAUAAUGAUCACGUUGAAUAAUUCUUAGCUGAUGCUGUGUUGUUUCAUUAAAAUUCCCAUUAUAAACAAGUUCAUUGAAUUAACAUUGUGUAGAACAAUAACAGGAUGUGGAAGACUAAUUGCUUCCUCUGGUGAGUUGUCGCGUAUUUAAUCGAUGUUGUGGUUCUCUGCUUCGAUCUAGUGGACGAUAUAAAGAAC
ensembl:lncRNA